UUGAGGGCUUUUGGGGGAGGGGUGUGAGGGCUCGAGGGGUCUGGUGCUGUGAGGGCUCAGGGGGUCCAGCAUUUUGAGGGAGCCAUGAAGGUCCAUGGGGCUGUGAGGGCUCGGGGGGGCUGUGAAAGGUUGUGGGGCCAUGAUGGCUCUUGGGCCAGGCUGAGCCGUUCAGUGCCAGCUCCCCUGUGCUGUGAGGGGAGUGCCCCUGUGAGGGGGUCUGUGUGAGGUGGGUGCUGCUCACUGAGGCUUCCCCUUGGUGGCCCCUCUGUCCCGAGCUGCGUGUGGGUGCUGCAGCCCUGUCAUGAGGCAGCUGAACACUCCGGGCUGGAGAAACCACCCUUGCCUUUCCUCUGACCCUUAUUCCAUGGCCCAGCUUUGUGAGCACAUUCCUGCCCAGCCAGUGAGUCCAUUGGUCACAGUUUCUAUUAAGCACACUUUGAUUAUUGUUUCAGCAGAGCCUUUCUAUGGUUAUAUGUAUUCAUCGGGAUGCCAGCUGGGUCUACAAAUCCUAGCAUCUCUUCUUGUUUCACACUGUAGCAAAAACUUGAAAGAGGCUCCUAAAGCCAGGGAGUCUCACCCUCCUGCCUCGUUGGGCUGAGGCAAAGGCAGCAGUGACCUCAAUCCUGCCGACACACAGAGCACACCAGGCCAGCUCUGUGUCACUCGGGCGUUCAUGUGACACACAGAGAUGUUGUGCCUUGUACACAUAUCCUGGGAUCUGUGCCUGGAUAACAAUAAUCCAGUCCUGUGCCUGCAUCAGGCGAGGAGGUGGCUGGAGAAGAACAGCCCUGUGGAGGUUGAAUAGCCUCUGGUAGUUGGCUUAAUAUAAAGGUUAUGGUGAUCAAUAUUUCUGGCAUACAAACAUCAUAUUCCCACAGAGGUGCUGGAAGGAGUCCAGGAACUCCUGGAGCAGCCCCGGAGACCCUGAGAGGAGCCCCGGAGCAUCAGGAACCUGAGAGGACCCUGGGACAGACCUGUGUCAGCCUCAGAGGUGCCCAGGGAGACACACACAGCUCAUCCUUCACAUCUGAAACAGGAAUGCAGGAGGUUUAUGCAGUUUCCUUUGAGAUAGCUGAGUAAUGCAGAGCCAUUAGGGUCCAGAUUUAUCCACUAAUUACAGGCACUGAUUGAAUAGCAAACUCUGGGCUGUGUUCACACUGGAAUCAGUGAAAAGGGUUGGUUUGGCCCACCCCAGCUCAGCACCACUGACAACACAUUUCUGUUCUCUGUAAUGGUGUUUGAUGUGACCAAUUCCAAAAACUGCAGCAUCAUUUAAGUAUCAGAGGCAGCCAGGAUAAAUCUGGGCAGGACUUGCUCAAGAUUUCAUACAAGGCUGUACUAAUCAGUAAAGACAGCUUUUCCUCCAGGAUGUGAUGCCAUCUCUUCAGAGCAAUGCACAAAAGGAAUACAGUCUUCUUUCUGGUUAAAGGCAGGGAAUGUAGAAUGCCUUGCCCGUGUCAUGCUCUCCAGGAAAGUACAUUCAGCAUCAAUUCUCAUCAGGUGUGCUCAGCACAGCGUUCAUAAAUGUGUGCAUUCAGGAAGCCCUGGAAAACCCUCCCUAAAAUGGAGCAGGGGAGCCACUGCAGGGCUCGGAUGAUGUUUCCUGGUGCAGGUGCUGCUGGAUUUAAUGCAGAUACAGUUGGGUUUUUUUUCUGCCAGGGCCAGAAAGCAAAGGCCUGCACGUCAGUGCCAUCUAUUUCCUCACUUCCUUAGCAAUCCUGAGCCUUUGUGCUUCCCACAGCCUGUGCCUCAGCCAGUGCUGCCUUUCAUGUUUGGGAAGCUGCUCUGUAAUGUGUGGAGUGAGCAAUGUUUGUCACCCCAAGCAUUCCCAGAGGCAGUGUGAGAGUGGGAACGCUCUGCUCAGUUAAGCUCCAAUACCUGUCUCCAGAACACCAGCAGGAUCUCUCCUGCAGAGAGGGGUAGGACCCUGUGGGUGGUUACAUUUUGAGCUUCCAGAGGUUUCCCUGGGAGAUUCAGCCACCUGAAUAUCUGUGGGAUAGGAGACAUUUCCAAUUAUUUGUGCAACAUUUAUUUUUGCUAAUUCUAGCCCAGCCAGUGAGUACUUCUGUUCUUAGCUACGUGCACAUCCACAGGAAAUGACAAUUCUGUCUUAAAUAUUUUUGCAUUUUUAAAAAAAUGCCAGUACUUUUAAGCUCUCUGUGAGAAGGAACACAGGAGUCUGAGCCAGGAAUCUCCACAGAGAGCUGCUGGAGCUGCCGACCAUCUCAGCCCUGGGACUUCUAACGCUGGGGCACCACUAAUUAGUGCGUGCCAGAAGGUGAGCUGGCAAGUGCCACAGCAGGUCUGUGCCAGAACCUUGGCUCACAUGAAGCAUUCCUCCCAAGGCAAACCUCUGCAUGAACCUCUGAGCACUGGGCAUAUUCAAGGAGAAAAAGUUGCACAUUCCCUGGUCCUGCCUGAGCCAAAUGCUGGAGUGUGUUUGUGAUGGUCGCUGGUUUGGUGGAGAGGCUGCAGCUGGGUGGAGUGGGGAACGUUGGAAAGCAAAAGGGAGGGCAGAGAAGGGAAUAGCUCGACCAAGGUGGUUCCCACAUCGUGUUUUCACUGAAGACAUCUGUCUUAGCUGGUAUUUGAUUUCUUUGAAAGCUCUCCUCAAACCACUGCGAGCAACGAGCAAGGAGGUUUCACCUCAUUUGGGGGCUUCUACACUUCCCAGCUAAAUUAUGCUGCUGAGAGACCAAAGUUCCUUGAAGUGAGGGGCUGCUUCCAGAGACUGGUGAGUGAGGAGUGCAGUUGUGGGAUUCCUGCUUGAGAGAAAUCAGAAGGGCUGGAUGGGAUCAAUCCACAGGCCCACCCAGGCCAGUAUCUUGUCUCUCAUGAUCUGCAGCAGUUACCAAAGAACAGAGCAAACAGAUCUGGAUGUGGCAGGUGGUUCAGGCAAUUCUUUAGCCACAAGCAAGUAACUUUUUGGUUAAUAGCCCUAAUGGGUUAUUAUGAAUUUAUCUAAUCACCUUUUGCAGCCGUGUAAACUUUUGGCAUAAACAACCUCCUGUCCUGAUGAGGUUUAACCACAAGCUCUGUGGAAGAAGAGCUCCUUCCAUUUGGUUUGAUGGUUUCCACUGAGCUCCUCUGCUCAGAAGGCUCUGAGCCUGUCCCUUCAAAGCUUGCACUCCAGGAGUGUUUAAUAUUGUCAGUGAUACUGUGAGACAGAAGGUAAAGUUAAACCAGAUUUUGAGUGGUUUAAAGUUCAGCAUUGAUUUUGCAUUUGCACAUCCUUGUUCAAAACCAGUGAACUUUGAACGCUGUUCCCGUGAAGGUUCCACAGCUCUGCUGCUGUUCAUUGUCCACUGAUAAGCCCAAAAACUGUUGCCUUCUUUCACUUGGAAAAUCUGUUUCUCCUGAGAAUUUCCACCAAGAAGUGGUGACUAACUCGAUCAUGAGGUGCACAUAUGGUGACACCCCUGCUGUGAACAAAAAUAAGCUUUCCUUCACACAAAAGUUGAUUUUAUCAUUGCUCUGUCUCUCUCAAGCCUCCUCUUCAUUCCCAGGCCAGUCUUCUUCCUGGAGGAAUUGUUAUUUCUCCCCCUUGUUUCCAAAAGAGCCUUCAUCCCUACUCCAUGCAAGUGCCUGUCUCCCUGCAUAGGGGAAUUCUUCCAAUGCCACAGCUCCUUAAAUCACUGGUUAGAGCUGCUUUCACAUCCCACACAUAGAGAGAGCUUCCUACUGCAGUGUCUUUCCCCUGCAUCCACAUCAGGAGUCUCCUUGACACGUUCCCAGAAAUGCCUGCUUGCUAAAUGAUGUGAUUUGUGGUGGGAGCAGCUCCUGGCUCUGUUGGAGAUUUCCUAAGGCUGCCCUGGCAGCCUCCCUCUCCUGACUGAUCCCUGGCAUUGCACACAACUCCGGGAGCAGCAGUUUGUGUUCUGUGUUCAUCUGACAGCCUCUGACUGCAGGAAGGCUGUGAGCACCUCACAUGGAGGGCAUGGUGGAAACCUGGUCACUGCUGUACAAACACACUGAUUUCUGCACCUACAGAACAUCAAAGCACUGUGACUUGCCUGGGUUUGAUGGCUGUGUGAGAGGACUUUUAUGUGAAGAAAGCUGUGGCAAAAAUUGCAGGUUUGCUGAUCCCAGUGUUCCUUCGGGCUUGUUCCUCUUCAGUGUGUUCAGAAUUAGCUCCUCAAGUAGGAGUGACAGUCCAUGAGGUAGGAUAUAAACAUCAUAUGGCUUCCUAUUUCUCUGGAGAGAUACUCAGAUAUGUGAUCAUAAGCAUGGUAUAAGAACAACAUGAAAAUAUACUAAUUCCAGCCAUCCUAAAAGGCAUUCCUCUCAUCUGCUGCUGGAUUUACCCCUCUAAGUGGUUGGGGAUUUCAAGGGCUGGGUCUAUCCUGGAAGAAAGAAACAAUUCAGAUCCUGUGGGGAUGAACUUGGUACAGCAGAGUGGGACUGCAGGCAACCAGCUGUUAUUUCUCUCAGUUUUCAUGGGAAUUCAUUGGUACAACCCAGAUGGGAUGUGCUGGUUGAGAAUCCAUGGUGCUUUGGGAAUGGUAUAGAACAACAGGAGCAAAUGUAUUCCUACAAACAUGCCUAAAUGACAUUUAGGCCCCAAUAGCCAGGCCAGCCAACCUGUUGUGUGUCUGGAGCUAAAAGAGAGAAAGUGCUUUCUGGUGUCAAUUUUUGUAUCUAAUACCUUUGAUUUCCUUCUUACUGACAGUUGCUGAGAGCAGCAGAACUGCAGUUGUACAUGAGCAGAAAUUAUCUGCCAGAAGGUCUCUCCCAAGGUUCAGCCUGAGUGAGAAGCAAGGGACCUGUGUAUAAACAUAAAGAACUUAUGGACAGAUAGAAAAUCCUCAUUAUUUAUCAUUUCCACAAUUGAAUUCUAACCAAAGGCCUGCAAGCAUCUUUGUUUCAAAGCUUGCCUAGAUCCUUCCGACAUUCUUCAGAAGGUUUGAGCAAAGAACACAUCAAAAGGUGUAGGCACGUCUCCCACCAACUAAAUACCAGCAGCCAGGUUAUCUGAAGUCAUUUUCUUUCACUGUGCCUUCAGGUGUUCCCAUUGUACCCCCAAAAUACAGCAAAACACAGCAAAACAGCUCUGGAGUAAACAGGCCAAAUCAGCACCCCCAUCCCGCUCACUGAAACACUCUGUGUUCACAAUAACCCCCCUGCUUUGAUCCCUUGCCAAGAAUAACACAGACAGUCUAUUAAAACAUCUUUAAUAACAUGAUAUAAUUAAAAAUAUCUAACGUGCAACUCGAAGAAAUGAA